rnacentral:rRNA from 1 species
UACGGUAGGGUGCAAGCGUUUGUCCGGAAUUAUUGGGGCGUAAAGAGCUCGUAGGCGGUUUGUCGCGUCUGCCGUGAAAGUCCGGGGCUCAACUCCGGAUCUGCGGUGGGUACGGGCAGACUAGAGUGAUGUAGGGGAGACUGGAAUUCCUGGUGUAGCGGUGAAAUGCGCAGAUAUCAGGAGGAACACCGAUGGCGAAGGCAGGUCUCUGGGCAUUAACUGACGCUGAGGAGCGAAAGCAUGGGGAGCGAACAGG